AUUGAACGCUGGCGGCAUGCCUUACACAUGCAAGUCGAACGGUAACAGGUCUUCGGAUGCUGACGAGUGGCGAACGGGUGAGUAAUGCAUCGGAACGUGCCCAGUAGUGGGGGAUAGCCCGGCGAAAGCCGGAUUAAUACCGCAUACGACCUGAGGGUGAAAGGGGGGGAUCGCAAGACCUCUCGCUAUUGGAGCGGCCGAUGUCAGAUUAGCUAGUUGGUGGGGUAAAGGCCUACCAAGGCAACGAUCUGUAGUUGGUCUGAGAGGACGACCAGCCACACUGGGACUGAGACACGGCCCAGACUCCUACGGGAGGCAGCAGUGGGGAAUUUUGGACAAUGGGCGCAAGCCUGAUCCAGCAAUGCCGCGUGCAGGAAGAAGGCCUUCGGGUUGUAAACUGCUUUUGUCAGGGAAGAAAUCUUCUGGGUUAAUGCCUCGGGGAGGAUGACGGUACCUGAAGAAUAAGCACCGGCUAACUACGUGCCAGCCGCCGCCGUAAGAC
rnacentral:rRNA from 1 species